rnacentral:rRNA from 1 species
GACGAACGCUGGCGGCGUGCUUAACACAUGCAAGUCGAACGGAAAGGCCUCUUUCGGGGGGUACUCGAGUGGCGAACGGGUGAGUAACACGUGAGUAACCUGCCCUUGACUUUGGGAUAACUUCAGGAAACUGGGGCUAAUACCGGAUAGGAGCUCCUGCUGCAUGGUGGGGGUUGGAAAGUUUCGGCGGUUGGGGAUGGACUCGCGGCUUAUCAGCUUGUUGGUGGGGUAGUGGCUUACCAAGGCUUUGACGGGUAGCCGGCCUGAGAGGGUGACCGGCCACAUUGGGACUGAGAUACGGCCCAGACUCCUACGGGAGGCAGCAGUGGGGAAUAUUGCACAAUGGGUGGAAGCCCGAUGCAGCAACGCCGUGGGCGGGAUGACGGACUUCGGGUUGUAAACCGCUUUCGCUCAUGACGAAGCUUUGUGUGACGGUAGUGGGUAAAGAAGCACCGGCUAACUACGUG